AAGGAAUUAGUUAAUCUAUAACAUUAGUAUGUCAUACUAAAAUUAUUAAUAUAAUUAAUAUUCCUUU
rnacentral:tRNA from 1 species